rnacentral:rRNA from 1 species
UACAGAGGUCCCAAGCGUUGUUCGGAUUCACUGGGCGUAAAGGGUGCGUAGGUGGCGAGGUAAGUUUGAUGUGAAAUCUCCGGGCUUAACCCGGAAACUGCAUUGAAUACUAUCUUGCUCGAGGUUUGGAAGGGGGACUGGAAUUCUCGGUGUAGCAGUGAAAUGCGUAGAUAUCGGAAGGAACACCAGUGGCGAAAGCGGCUUCCUGGUCCAGCACCGACGUUCAGGCACGAAAGCGUGGGGAGCAAACAGG